rnacentral:rRNA from 1 species
CAACAAAGCCAAAGACGCAUAGUUGCUCUGAGAGGAUUAUCAGCCACACUGGAUCUGAGACACGGUCCAGACUCUUACGGGAGGCAGCAGUGGGGAAUAUUGCACAAUGGAGGAAACUNUGAUGCAGCAACGCGGCGUGGAGGAUGACGCAUUUCGGUGUGUAAACUCCUUUUAUAUGGGAAGAUAAUGACGGUACCAUAUGAAUAAGCACCGGCUAACUCCGUGCCAGCAGCCCGCGGUAAUACGGAGGGUGCAAGCGUUACUCGGAAUCACUGGGCAUAAAGCGCGCGCAGGCGGCCUUUUAAGUUGGAUGUGAAAGCCUAUGGCUCAACCAUAGAACUGCAUCCAAAACUAUCAGGCUAGAGUGUGGGAGAGGAAGAUGGAAUUAGUUGUGUAGGGGUAAAAUCCGUAGAGAUAACUAGGAAUACCAAAAGCGAAGGCAAUCUUCUGGAACAUUACUGACGCUGAGGCGCGAAAGCGUGGGGAGCAAACAGGAUUAGAUACCCUGGUAGUCCACGCCCUA